AGAGGCAAUGAUGGGCUGUGGAAGGCUUUCAUGGCCAGAAUCACUGGGUUGCUCACUGGGUUGCUGUGAGUUUUCUGGGCAGUAUGGCCAUGUUCCAGAAGCAUUCUCUCCUGACGUUUUGCCCACAUGUAUGGCAGGCAUCUUGAAAGGUUGUGAGGUAUAUUGGAAACUAGGUGAGUGAGGUUUAUAUAUCUGUGGAAGGCCCAGAGUGGGAGAAAGGGUCCCUUUGGGUGAGAAGGGCGGGAUACAAAUGUUGGAAAUGGAAAUAAAAAUAACUCUUGUUUGGGUUGUUGUUUGAGGCAAGUGUGAAUGUUGCAAUUAAUCACCUUGAUUAGCACUGAAAAGCCUCGCAGCUUCAAAGCCUGGCUGAUUCCUACCUGGGGGAGCCCUUUGUUGGGAGGUGUUAGCUGGCCCUGAUUGAUUCCUGUCUGGAAUUCUUCUGUUUUUUUUUCCAGAGGGCUGUUCUUUAUUUACUGUCCUGAUUUUAGAGUUUUUUAAGAAUACCGGUAGCCAAAUUUUGUGCAUUUUCAGGGUUUCCUCCCUUCUGUUGAAAUUGUCCACAUGCUUAUGGAUUUCAAUGGCUUCUCUGUGUACACAUGGUGGUUGUGAGAGUGGUCUAGCAUUUCUGUGUUCUCAAAUAUUAUAUACUGUGUCCAGGUUGGUUCAUCAAGGGCUCUGCUCUGGCUGACUUCUCUAGCUGAGUUAGUCUGCAGUGCCUUACAUGUUCCUUGAGGCAAAGAGUUAAUACCUGGCGAGAGGAAGUGACGCCACAGGAGGGCGGGUUCAAGCUCCAGCCACUCACCUGGAGGAGGCGUGCGCUGCCGGGGCGAUGGCGGCUGCGGUGGACUGCAUUGUGAAACUGGGCGGCGGCGCUUUGACGCACAAGAAGCAGCUGGAGACGCCGAAAUUGGAAGCGCUGCGGAGGGCGGCCGCUCUGGUCGGGAAGCUCUAUGGCGCCGGAGAGAGGCGCUGCAUUGUCGUCCACGGGGCCGGCUCAUUUGGACAUUUCCAGGCAAAACAACAUAAUGUUGCUUCAGGGACCUCAGAAGGAUCAGCUGCAAGUCUCAGUUUAAGACAAGGACUGUGCUUGACCAGGCUUUCUGUCACAAAGCUGAACCAUCUGGUGAUAGAACAUUUGGUAAGCUGUGGAAUUCCAGCCGUGGGCAUUUCGACAUUUGGAACCUGGAAAACAGCAUCCAAGAAUGUCACUCAGGAUGGGAUUGAUGCGGUAAAAGAAGCUUUAGAUGCAGGUUAUGUGCCAGUUUUACAUGGAGAUUGUGCUCUGGAUUCAGAACAACAUUGCUGUGUCUUAUCUGGAGAUACCAUUAUUGAGGUUCUAGCUAAGAAGUUCUCUCCUAGGCGAGUUGUGUUUCUCACAGACGUGAAUGGAAUUUUUAGCUGUCCGCCUGACACACCAGGUGCUAAACUUCUAGAUCACAUUAUUAUUCAUCCUAAUGGAACUAUGGAACCACACAUUCUUACAUCUGUGCUUCCACAUGACACUACUGGAGGUAUAUCUAUGAAGUUACAAGCUUCUAUACACAUAGUUUCUCAGAGCCGUGGAGAUGUUCCCGUUCUCAUCUGCAAGCUGGACAGUGAUGCAGCUGAAAGGGCUUGCCUGACAGGGGAGUUGAUGGAAGGUGAAGGUACAAAGCUUUUCUUCAAGGAAGCAUGAAGGUAUCUCUGCAAGAACAUUAAAUUAAGCAAAAGGCAAGUUUAAUCAAGGUGGUACAAUUUGGAUAUUGUGAUCAUUUGUAGAAUUUCACAUGACAGUCACAGUCAAUUCCAAAUAUCUUGAAUUAUGGAUUCUCUGUUACUCUAUUUACUUUGAAAUGAAUGUGGUGACAUGUAAGCCACCACUAUUAAUUUUUACCAUUUUACAAAUAUUUUUCAAAUAUUCUUUCCAUUCCAUGUGUGCUGUCAAGAGAAGUUUGGAAAGAAGCUGUAAAUUUGUUAAACUACAUAGCUACAAAGCUCUACACAAUUAGAUUCUCUUAAUGCGUACAUUCAUCUCCUUUGAGAAACUUUCCCAUCAAUACUUAAAAAUCAAGACUGAUGUGGGCAGAAUUGGAUAUGGCAUCAUCCUGGGAAUGGAUAACAUUGGUAGAUCUGGAGCUAUCUCCACCUCUCCUGGUUGAAAACCCACUUUGUUUUUCAGCUCCAUGUUUUUAUGUCAAAACAAGACAUGCAAGAUAAAGGAAAGGCUUUCAGGAUAGUGCUUGUCCAUUUCAGAUUUUUAGGAAUGGUUCUGAAGCCUGUAUAAUUAUAGGCAGAGGCAAAGAUGGAUUGUGCUGUUCUGUGAAAGAAAUUUCAGAUUUUGGAAAAGAAAAUGUGAGAAUUAGAUGAGGAAAGUAACAUUGAAUAUCCAGUCUGCCAAUCUGUUUUUGAGUGUACUUAGUGGUGUGCAUAAUUUCAUUUUUUCUUUGUAUUUCAUAUCAAAUUCAUUAAAUUUGUGCAUAUGAAUCGAUAUUGGAAACAUGAAGGAAAAGUGUUUUUUUUUUUAGGGGGUGUGUGUGUUAAGAACUGAAACACUCACCAGUCAUUUGUUAAGAUUCUGUAACAUUUGGAUGCCUCCCAAGGUCAGUUUAGUUUUCAGUUUAACCAUUAAGCAACUUUGGUAAAACCAAGAAAACAUGAAGCAUUUUAAAAACCAGUCCUUUUUCUUUGGCCCAAUCAUCAUAAGCAAAGGCACUAGGGACAGGACUAGCAAAGUUAAUGAGCAGGAGACUGAGAACAUAGCCAUCUUAAAUGUAGUUUGGGAAGAUGAGCCCCCUGUGGCUGGGAAUGCAAGAGGCUCUGUCCUAAACUAUAUUUCCCAGAAUGAAGGGUUCAGCAUCAGAAAACCCCAAUGAGGGCUGCUGUUUAAGCAGCCAGCUGUUUAGAGUCAGUCUAAUAAUAAUAAAUUAUUGAAUCUACAAAGAGGACUAAAGUAACUAGUGUGCUAAGUUGAAGUUAUGUCAUUGUGUGUCAUAAAGACUGACAGGCAUUCAAGGGGAUUGCUGUUGUCGCUAUUUUGGGGAUAAAUUGUUUUUGUCUAAACUUUUAAAAAUCCCUGUAGAUGUGUGAAUCUUUUUGAAACUUCUAGGGAUUGAUGCCCUGGUUAUCGUGUGUAUUGUGUAUAAAAUUCAAGUAGAUCGCUCUUGUGUUUUUUUUUAAUGUUUAUAAAAACUUUGAACAUUUCAAAAAAACCUGUGGAUAAGUGAUACAUUCUGAAAUUUGGUGGGCUAACAGUGGUAAAUGUGUUCUACCACUGUAGCAAGUUUCACCCCAAUUGCUUUAAAAAUGAGGGAGAUAGAAGCCCCUGAAGUUUCUCCAGUUAUAGUAAUUUAAUUAUGAGCAUGUGCAAUUACUGUAACGAAAUAGCCAUGAAAUUUUGUUACUGUCAUUAUAGUAAUGAUUUUUUUUCACAAACUAUACUUUAGAAACACUUUAGAAACAAAAUGUCAGUGCCCACAGCUUUGUAAUGAUUUUUUAACCAUUUUUUAAAAUGGAUCGUACAUCUCUAAGUGUACUCUUAUUGCAGCAAGCUUAUGGUAUCAACAUUGCAGAUACAGAUUCAUUCUUCCUAAAUGGCAGACAGACAAUUUUAUUUUUUCUUUAAAAAGUCUGAAGUAUAGGUUGAAAUUUGAUGAAAAGAGGGAGGCUUUGAAGGAUUAAAAAGAUACUAAGCAAGUCUAAGAAAAGAGAAGGGACAAGAAAGCUACAGACUAGGUGUUGACAAAUUGUUUCACUGAAACAAGAUACCAUUUCAUAGAAUCAUACAGUCACCAGGGUUUCCACUUAAUGCAGGUAAUUCAACUAGAGCAUCCCCAGCAGGUAGCUGUCUAUCAUCUUUUUGACAACCAGAGAAAAAGGCCCCCAUCAGCUCUCUAGUUAAUUUAUUCCAUUGCUGAACAUCUCUCACUGUCAAGAAGUUUCUUCUAAUGUUCAGUUAAAAUCUACCAUUGUGUAAUUUAAAACCAUUAGACCUGGUCCUACCCUCCAGAGCAGUAGAGAAUAAACCUAUAUUGUCUUCUCUGUGAUAACCCUUGAGAUAUUGAAAGAGUGCAGUCUUGUUAUCCCUCAGUGUUUAAUUCACUAGAAUGAAUAUCUCCAAGUCUUUUCUGUACAUGCUUAUUUGAAUAGCUGCUGGCCUGGACACCUCAGGCAGCUUGCGCAAGAUUCGGAUGUAGCUAUGUGAGCUGAGAUAUAUGGGCAUCCUGGCAGGUCAGCAGUUCAGAGGGUAUUAGUGAAAGCAAGAGUGAUGUCAUGCAGCUUUGGUUCAUCUAUUUAUAGCUCACCACAUAUAGUAUAGGUAAUCACACUUAAGGUGACAGAAUUCAACUAGGUGUUGAACUUUAAGUCCAAGUGAGAUAGCUCUUUAGAAUGUUAUUUAUGGAUAAAAUCCUACUUUCAAUGGCUUGCUUUCCUAUGGAUGUUAUUUUGUUAAAUCUAUUUCUAGGAAGAAAGGACUAAGGUGUUUUCUCUCUCAGCAAUGCCAGCUCUGAAUUGAGGCCAUUUUACAUUGUGAUAUACCAGCACAACUAAAGGGGGAAUAUGAAUGCCAUUUAAAUAUAUAAUUUUAGAGCAUCUUGAAGCACGUCCCUAAUUUCAUAAUCUCAUGUUACUGUGUGCGUCUUGGGGUGCAGCAGUUCUUCUUUUUUUAAAAAAAUAAUAUUUUUUUAUUGAGUUUUCAAGUAAAAUUUACAGUAAGUGUUUAAGAACACAUUGGGUUCUUAGAAGAAAAAGUGCAAUGAGUAAGUAGAAAUUGAAGAAAGAGAGAAGAAAAAGAAAAAAAAAUUAAAAAGAAGAAGAGAAAGAAAAAAAGGAAAGGAAAUUAAAAUAAACAGAAAUAUAAUACAAUUGGUCGCUUCCAUCUCUUACACAGAUACUUAAAAAAAAUUUCUAUCUUUAAUUAGUCUUUCCGUUCGUUCUGCUUUGGUGUCAGCCUCUUUUUUUUAUCUUCCAUCAUUAU
ensembl:lncRNA